rnacentral:rRNA from 1 species
GACGAACGCUGGCGGCGUGCUUAACACAUGCAAGUCGAACGGAAAGGCCCUGCUUUUGUGGGGUGCUCGAGUGGCGAACGGGUGAGUAACACGUGAGUAACCUGCCCUUGACUUUGGGAUGACUUCAGGAAACUGGGGCUAAUACCGGAUAGGAGCUCCUGCUGCAUGGUGGGGGUUGGAUAGUUUCGGCGGUUGGGGAUGGACUCGCGGCUUAUCAGCUUGUUGGUGGGGUAGUGGCUUACCCAGGCUGAGACGGGUAGCCGGCAUGAGAGGGUGGACGGGCACAAUGGGACUGAGGUACGGCCCAGACUCGUAUGGGAGGCAGCAGUGGGGAGUAUUGUACAAUGAGAGGAAGCCUGAUGCGGCAGCGCCGCGUGCGGGAUGACGGCCUUCGGGUUGUAAACCGCUGUCGCCUGUGACGAAGCGUGAGUGACGGUAAUGGGUAAAGAAGCACCGGCUAACUACGUG